UUCCGGUUGAUCCUGCCGGACCUGACUGCUAUCGGAUUGAUACUAAGCCAUGCGAGUCUUUGUAGUAAUACAAGGCAGACGGCUCAGUAACACGUAGUCAACCUACCCUAUGGACAAGAAUAAUCUCGGGAAACUGAGCAUAAUUCUUGAUAGAUCAUAAUGCCUGGAAUGGUUUAUGGUUAAAAUGAUUCGUCGCCAUAGGAUGGGACUGCGGCCUAUCAGCUUGUUGGUGAGGUAAUGGCCCACCAAGGCGAUUACAGGUACGGGCUCUGAGAGGAGAAGCCCGGAGAUGGGUACUGAGACACGGACCCAGGCCCUAUGGGGCGCAGCAGGCGAGAAAACUUUGCAAUGUGCGAAAGCACGACAAGGUUAAUCCGAGUGAUUUCUGCUAAAGAAAUCUUUUACCAGUCGUAAAACCGCUGGUGAAUAAGGGGUGGGCAAGUUCUGGUGUCAGCCGCCGCGGUAAAACCAGCACCUCAAGUGGUCAGGAUGAUUAUUGGGCCUAAAGCAUCCGUAGCCGGCUUUGUAAGUUUUCGGUUAAAUCCAUGUGCUCAACGCAUGGGCUGCCGAAAAUACUGCAUAGCUAGGGAGUGGAAGAGGUAGACGGUACUCAGUAGGUAGGGGUAAAAUCCUUUGAUCUAUUGAUGACCACCUGUGGCGAAGGCGGUCUACCAGAACACGUUCGACGGUGAGGGAUGAAAGCUGGGGGAGCAAACCGGAUUAGAUACCCGGGUAGUCCCAGCUGUAAACGAUGCAGACUCGAUGAUGCAUUGGCAUAAUAGCCAUUGCAGUGUCGCAGGGAAGCCGUUAAGUCUGCCGCCUGGGAAGUACGUACGCAAGUAUGAAACUUAAAGGAAUUGGCGGGGGAGCACCACAAGGGGUGAAGCCUGCGGUUCAAUUGGAUUCAACGCCGG
rnacentral:rRNA from 1 species